rnacentral:rRNA from 1 species
AUUGAACGCUGGCGGCAGGCUUAACACAUGCAAGUCGAGCGGGGGGAGGUAGCUUGCUACCGGACCUAGCGGCGGACGGGUGAGUAAUGCUUAGGAAUCUGCCUAUUAGUGGGGGACAACAUCUCGAAAGGGAUGCUAAUACCGCAUACGUCCUACGGGAGAAAGCAGGGGAUCUUCGGACCUUGCGCUAAUAGAUGAGCAUAAGUCGGAUUAGCUAGUUGGUGGGGUAAAGGCCUACCAAGGCGACGAUCUGUAGCGGGUCUGAGAGGACGAUCCGCCACACUGGGACUGAGACACGGCCCAGACUCCUACGGGAGGCAGCAGUGGGGAAUAUUGGACAAUGGGGGGAACCCUGAUCCAGCCAUGCCGCGUGUGUGAAGAAGGCCUUAUGGUUGUAAAGCACUUUAAGCGAGGAGGAGGCUACUUUAGUUAAUACCUAGAGAUAGUGGACGUUACUCGCAGAAUAAGCACCGGCUAACUCUGUGCCAGCCGCCGCCGUAA